rnacentral:lncRNA from 1 species
CCCUCCCCAUCCAACUCACAACUCAAUUCAACCCAAGUCGGAGCGUUCCACCGUUGCUCAUCACCCCAACACCAUUACAUCUUCAGAUGUUCUUCCAAUUGGGGCAUGCCGCGGCGGAGGUGUGCGGCUCGUGGUCGGUGAGAUCGAACGGAGAAAAUGGAGGCCCAGAAAAUGAGUUUUCUUCAUCUUCGUGCGGCGGCGGCGGCAAUGGCGGUGAUACUUGGAAGCAGAGGUUUCUUCGAAGUUUUCAGGCCACGAUUGAUCAAAAUCCGCAGAGAAUUGAAGAUGGCCAUGUCUGACAGGAGAGGCUUCUUGAGGAAGAUGAAGGAUGAAGAACGAAGACGGGAAAGAGAAAAAAAAAAGAAAAAGAAAAGGAGAGAGAGAGAAGGGGAACGUGGGGGCAUUUCUGAGAAUUCACAUUUGAAAAUGGAGCAAAAAAUCGCACAAACCGCGUGAGCGACACGAUUUGUUCUUAGGGGGCUAGAUGCUUUGACUUUGUUUACACAGGG